AGCGGCAGGCCUAACACAUGCAAGUCGAGGGGUAACAGAGAAGCUUGCUUCUGCUGACGACCGGCGCACGGGUGCGUAACGCGUAUGCAACCUACCUUAUACAGGAGAAUACCCCUUGGAAACGAGGAAUAAUGCUCCAUAGUAUCAUCACUUCGCAUGUUGAGAUGAUUAAAGAAUUUCGGUAUAAGAUGGGCAUGCGUCCCAUUAGCUUGUUGGUGAGGUAACGGCUCACCAAGGCUACGAUGGGUAGGGGGCCUGAGAGGGUGGUCCCCCACACUGGUACUGAGACACGGACCAGACUCCUACGGGAGGCAGCAGUGAGGAAUAUUGGUCAAUGGAGGCAACUCUGAACCAGCCAUGCCGCGUGAAGGAUGACGGCCCUAUGGGUUGUAAACUUCUUUUGAAUAGGAAGAAACUUAUCUACGUGUAGAUAACUGACGGUACUAUUAGAAUAAGGAUCGGCUAACUCCGUGCCAGCAGCCGCGGUAAUACGGAGGAUCCAAGCGUUAUCCGGAUUCAUUGGGUUUAAAGGGUCCGUA
rnacentral:rRNA from 1 species